GACGAACGCUGGCGGCGUGCUUAACACAUGCAAGUCGAACGGUGAAGCGCCUUCCUUUUUGGUGGGUGUGGAUGAGUGGCGAACGGGUGAGUAACACGUGAGUAACCUGCCCCCUUCUUCUGGAUAACCGCAUGAAAGUGUGGCUAAUACGGGAUAUUCUGGGUCUGUCGCAUGAUGGGUCUGGGAAAGAUAUUGUUUCGGUGGGGGAUGGGCUCGCGGCCUAUCAGCUUGUUGGUGGGGUGAUGGCCUACCAAGGCGGUGACGGGUAGCCGGCCUGAGAGGGUGGACGGUCACACUGGGAGUGAGACACGGCCGAGACUGAUACGGGAGGCAGCAGUGGGGAAUAUUGCACAAUGGGCGCAAGCGUGAUGCAGCGACGCCGCGUGAGGGAUGGAGGCCUGCGGGUUGUGAACCUCUUUCGCCAGUGAAGCAGGCCUGCCUCGUUUGUGGGUGGGUUGACGGUAGCUGGAGAAGAAGCGCCGGCUAACUACGUG
rnacentral:rRNA from 1 species